rnacentral:rRNA from 1 species
ACAAGCGGAGGAGCAUGUGGUUUAAUUCGAUGAUACGCGAGGAACCGUUACCUGGGCUCGAACGUAAGAUGACUGUAGGUGAAAGCUUACAUCUCUUCGGAGCAUUUUACGAGGUGCUGCAUGGUUGUCGUCAGCUCGUGUCGUGAGAUGUUGGGUUAAGUCCCGUAACGAGCGCAACCCUUGUCCUUAGUUACCAGCACGUUAUGGUGGGCACUCUAAGGAGACUGCCGGUGACAAACCGGAGGAAGGUGGGGAUGACGUCAAGUCAUCAUGGCCCUUACGGCCUGGGCUACACACGUGCUACAAUGGUCGGUACAAAGGGUUGCCAAGCCGCGAGGUGGAGCUAAUCCCAUAAAACCGAUCGUAGUCCGGAUCGCAGUCUGCAACUCGACUGCGUGAAGUCGGAAUCGCUAGUAAUCGUGAAUCAGAAUGUCACGGUGAAUACGUUCCCGGGCCUU